UACGUAGGUGGCGAGCGUUGUCCGGAUUUAUUGGGCGUAAAGCGAGCGCAGGCGGUUCCUUAAGUCUGAUGUGAAAGCCCUCGGCUCAACCGAGGAAGGUCAUUGGAAACUGGGGAACUUGAAUGCAGAAGAGGAGAGUGGAAUUCCAUGUGUAGCGGUGAAAUGCGUAGAUAUAUGGAGGUACACCAGUGGCGAAGGCGACUCUCUGGUCUGUAAUUGACGCUGAGGCUCGAAAGCGUGGGGAGCAAACAGG
rnacentral:rRNA from 1 species